rnacentral:misc_RNA from 1 species
CAAUAUAAGCAGCAUCCUUUGUCGCCGUCCGUUGGGAAUCAUUGAAAUAAGCUGGAACUGUAAUCACAGCUUUACAUACUUUGUCAUUUAAGAACUUUGAUGCAUCUUCUCCUAGCUUUCUCAGAACAAGAGCGGAGAUUUCCUCCGGCGAGAAUUGCUUCCCGACGGCAGGGCAGUCGAGCUUGACAUUCCCAUUCCUAUCCCUGACCACCUUAUAGGAGACCUGCUUAGCCUCUUCCUCC